AUAUCUAUAUCUAUCUAUACUACACUCAAAGCUUCAAAUUAUCACUGAUGUGUUGAUUUAGGUUACCAGACACUUUCAAGCAGGCUCAUCAUUCCCGAUUCAAGCACGCUCACGUGCUCGAUUGCAGGUUUCCAAGACGCCGAUUGAGGCUCCAAGACGACGAUUGAGGCCUCCAAGACGACGAUUGAGGCCUCCAAGACGACGAUUGAAGCCUCCAACACGCUCGAUUGCAAGGUCUUUUUGUGGGUUUGAGAAGUUCAGACCCGUCUCCCCAAAUUAUUCAACUGUUCGUAAUCGAUUUCCGAUAGUUACAGUCAUGGCAGGCGUAGCACCAGAAGGUUCUCAGUUUGACACUCGCCAAUUUGAUACAAAAAUGAAUGAGCUGUAAGUUUGUGCAAUUUUUAGAUAUCCUUUCUUGCAAGRAAAAUCCCACAGGCAUUGUUGCUUGUUUGAAAGGUAAGGUUAUCUGUUUAUAUGCUCGAUGGCCAGAUGAUGAUAUUGAUAACAGAAAACCAACCAUUAUGGAUUCGUUAUUUAAUAUAUACUAUAUGUUGGCUUACUUGUGCGAAAUAGUAUUAUCAUUUUAGRAAAUAACGCACUAAUUUUUGAGCACGUGCCGUUAAUCACUUGUUUAUCUUAGU